GCAACGAGCGCAACCCUUUGUCCUUAGUUACCAUCAUUAAGUUGGGGACUCUAAGGAGACUACCGGUGAUAAACCGGAGGAAGGUGGGGACGACGUCAAGUCAUCAUGGCCCUUAUGACCGGGGGCUACACACGUACUACAAUGGUCGGUACAGACGGUCGCAAGCUCGCGAGAGUAAGCUAAUCCGAGAAAACCGAUCGUAGUCCGGAUCGCAGUCUGCAACUCGACUGCGUGAAGUCGGAAUCGCUAGUAAUCGCAAAUCAGAAUGUUGCGGUGAAUACGUUCCCGGGCCUU
rnacentral:rRNA from 1 species